rnacentral:rRNA from 1 species
GCGCGAAAACUUUACCAUGCGGGCAACCGUGAUAAGGAAACCCCGAGUGCUAGUAUAGACUAGCUGUCCAUUAGUUUAAAUUGCUAGUGAAGAAAGGGCCGGGCAAGACCGGUGCCAGCCGCCGCGGUAAUACCGGCGGCUCGAGUGGUGGCCGCUAUUACUGGGCUUAAAGGGUCCGUAGCUUGAUGCACAAGUCCCUUGAGAAAUCCGCCGGCUUAACUGGCGGGCGUUCAGGGGAAACUGUGUUUCUAGGGACCGGGAGAGGUGAGAGGUACUGCCGGGGUAGGAGUGAAAUCCUGUAAUCCCGGUGGGACCACCUAUGGCGAAGGCAUCUCACCAGAACGGCUCCGACAGUGAGGGACGAAAGCUGGGGGAGCAAACCGGAUUAGAUACCCGGGUAGUCCCAGCUGUAAACGAUGCGCGUUAGGUGUGUCAGUGACCACGUGUCACUGAGGUGCCGAAGGGAACCGUGAAACGCGCCGCCUGGGGACGUACGGUCGCAAGGCUAGAAACUUAAGGAUUGGGCGGGGA